rnacentral:lncRNA from 1 species
UUAACUUUCAUGUAACCUAAUCUUGUAAGACUUGAGAAAAGAGAAUAAAUUUGGUGGUUGUAUGCAAAGAACAAAAAAAAUAAACAUGCAAUGCAGUUGAUUCAAUUGAUUUUGAGAAAAUAUGGAUGAAUGGUGUUGUUGGGGUUUACAAUUUCAUCUUAUCCACUCUCAUAUAUCUACUAUUCUUAUUUAAUUCACUUGUUUAUCUAAUUUCCAUGCAUACUUUCUUAAUUACCCUUAACCCAAUUCCUUGAUGAAAAGAGCCUAUUACUAAUUACCGGCUUGCUAUCCCUAGCCUCCCCUAGUAACCAAUAAUAAUGUGUUCUGAAGCAAAUACAAUUGACCAUCGUACCCUUAUCC